rnacentral:tRNA from 1 species
AGUCUUAUAGUCAUAAAUGAUAUUAAACUGCAAAUUUAAAGGAGUAUAAAUUACUAAGGCUU